CCUUUGGGAGUGAAAGGUGUUUCACGUGCACCCCCUCUGCCCGGCGGUCUGGGAACCAGUGGAGGAAAAUCAAGCGGUGCAAACUUGUCCGGCGUCCAAAAUCUACUCUAAAAGAGGAAAAGACUCGUGAGAGGAAUCGGAGGCCGUUUAAUCCAACUGUGGUGAGAAUUUCCAGCUUAAACCGGCGGAUUAAAUUUACAAACGAGUCCACCUUUAUUUUGAUCCCCAUGAUGCAGUCACAGGAUGUAUGUGACGUCACCCCUGAUCCACAGUCCGUUCCAGAGCAGGUUGAGUUUGAUUGUUUGUAUGAAACCACCAACCAAGAGGGCGGCUACUUCUGCAACCAGCUGCUUAAUGGUAUUCAGGAGUACUUGGUUUGGUUUGGUCUACGUAAUAAAUUAUUAAAUGAAUGCUGUAUUGAAGAAGACUUGGAAAUAGAGAUAAACAUACAAUGUUUACUGAGGGAAUAAAUCAAGAGAGUCAUUUUCUCUUGGACUUCUAUAGGACCAGUGGAGUCGCUCCCUGGUGGUCACCUGAGAGAAUGCAGCUUCAACACGUCGUAUCGUAGAAACGUUUCGUUUGACUAAGUCUCUUCCUCCGCUGAACGAGCAGCUUGUUGGAACCAGACUUCUCCUCCUCUGGCUGAGGACAAAGAGAAACAUCUGGAGGUCAAGACUUCCACCUCUGGUUUAAGAAUAAUAAUAAAACAACAAGCUGAAGCGUCCGACACCACCACCCGUCUCGGGUUUCCUCCGGCGGGGUCGGACGUGGGUGUCGGGGCGGCCGUUCACCGGUGUGAGGCCUCAACAAUUAGCAUGCUGAUUCCGCAUGUAAUCAGAUCGCCCCGGGAUGCUCGCCGGUCGGCUUCUAUACAUCGGGCCGGGCGCCGGCGUGGGACCGCCGCAGCUUUCUGAUUGUCUUCAACGCAGCAUAUGCUAAUUGCUGAUUGUCUCCAAUAUUAUAUGCUAAUUGUUAGGAAUUAGCAUAAAUCAUUAACAUUUGGGCCCUAAUUACACAAUGAAAAAAAGGAAGAGUGAAAACCACUCGGCUUGUGCUCCGACUUCCUAAUGUGUGAUGCGAUUAAUGCGGCGCUCAUUUGCAUCCCGGAGAAGGAGCCUGAAAUAUUAAAAGUGUUGUUCGGAGAAAAUCGUGAUUAGUCCCUAAUCAAAUGUUGUUUCUGCCGUUUUGAAAGGUGUAACAGUGUCGGCCCUCAGGUGAGAGGAAGCUCUCAGAAACUCGCAGAGCAACAAUCCCCCCCACUGCGCCCCCCGACCCCCCCAAGCAUGCAAAUGAGUCCCGGAUCAAAAUGUGCAAUUAGCGGCAAGGCUUCUUUUUUGAGGGGAUUUAGAGAAACAAAUGAACGUGGAGUCGUGGUUGAGGAUUCUCUUUGAUGUCUGCGGUUUAUCUCGUGUUAAUGAGGCGCUCAAACAAAAAGAAACAACCAAAUUGCUUUGAUUUCAUCAUAAUUGUAGUCGCGGGUCUGUUCACAUCGUUUAGCCGCCGGCGAGAAAACAAGCCGAUAUUCCACCGCGGUACAAACACGGUGGUGCUCGAGUACCAGUCCGUGGUUAACGAGGUAAAAGUACUCAGAGGAGACACGAAAAGUAUCCUGUGUCUCCGGGACAAUUGGGAAAGAAGAAAGACGGAGGCGAGAACGUCAAGAUGAAAAGUCAAAAGAAAUGAAGGGAAAAAGUAGAAGGAAUUAAAGGAGAGAAGGACACAAGGAAAGGGAUUCAAACUGAAAGGUGAGGAGGCGAAGAAGGAUAAAAUAAGAAAAGAAAGAAAUACAUAAGGUCACUUCCUGUUGACCAUAUAUGAGUCAAAUCGUCAGCCCACGAACCACGUCUGCGUCUCGCACUCGUCACUUCUAAGCUGAUCAAAAUGAAGAAUGAUUUAAUGAAUGUUGUGAAAGCAGAGACCUGCGACCCGCCGGACCUCUCCGCUCGGCCUCCGGGACCAACACCGGCCCUCCGACGGCUUCCUCCUGUUAACAGCAGCCCGGGUCGAGCUCCCAGGGCCACAUGUCGGAGGAGGGGAGGGGGGGGGGUUCACCUCCAAGGUAAUUGAAACAAGGGCUUUUGUAAGAAUCUGCUUGCAAUCCACAGGAGAGGGGGCAAAGAGGGGAAGAAUGAGAGCUUUAAUGAAUGGAGGCCGUCAUUAAAAUGAUACCCAUUUCCUCUGAGAUCACUUCCAAUUUAAAUGUGAGGGGGGAAAAGAGAAAAGGCGUAAUUGAAAGAUCUUUUUUUUCUGCCUUCUGCCAUUCAAACUGUAAAUUUGAAUCUGGGGGAGAAGAGGGAGAUUGUUUGUGGCCAUAGCUCACUAGUUCCAAUUACUCUUUUUUUUUUUUUUCCUGCUGCACUGGGAGCCACAAGGGAGACUCCCAACGCUUCAACCCCCCCCCCCCCAAAAAAACCCUGAGAAGCAGCCGUGUUUUCUUUGGACCGGCGGCGGUCAAAGGGAACAGAUCCCUAUCAGAUAGUUCGGGGAUGGAUUGAAACAGACGUGAGGGAUGACUUAAUUGAUAAACAAUGAGGCUGAGGUAGUUUUUUCUCCAGCGGAGCAGCUGCGCACACAGUCACACCUCCAGUCCUGUAAUUCAACAUCAGGACGGCCGCAGAUGUGCAGCAGCUCAGUGACUCACUGAGUCGCUCUUUUGUGUUUUCAAAGACAUUUGGAGCCAUUUAGAUAAUUCUGUCCUUGUUCUGUGUUGCUUUCACACCACCCGCAACUAAAUCAAAACCAAUCCAUCCAUUUGAAUCCAUAUUCAGGAAAAAAAAGGCGGGAAAAGGGAACACUGCAUCUCCUGCAUGGACGUUUGUCACACUGGAGGAGCUGGGUGGGUCAAGUUUGUUCAACGGUUGUGACAUCAGCGUUCUCACACUCAACCGCUGCAGGUGACGCGUGUGGGAGGAGCCUGUGAGCGGGACAUCCCGGCAGGCUCAUGGUUAAAGCGUGAAUUUUUCCUACUUAUGUUGUUUAAGCCACCCUUUGCAGGGAAGGCCGUUUCUUUCCAAAUCAACCUUCUUUCUCUCAGGGUUUGGCUGCGGUUGUUGAGAUGAGACGUCAUCACCUCGACAUCAGUAACAACAAAUAAAAUAAAAACAAAAUCAACACCUGAUCUGUAGCAACCAAAUAACAUACAGGUAAGAAAGUCAUCAUACAUUUAUGAAGUCAAAUACAUCCAAUGUUUGUUUGACACAGAGAUAAUGUUUUGCUAUAAUCCCAAAUCCAAUGAAAGAAUCCCUGUGGGCGCAGGGAUGCUAACUUCCUAUUGAACCAGAUAAAUACGCUUUCCCUGCAGCGGCCAUAAGAAGAGACAUUUUUUUAGGGACUUUAAGCAGAAGCCCGCACGCACAACGAUGCUGCGGCGUGUUUUAGUUCAUGAGUAAGAUAAUUGAAAGCCAUUAUGAGCCACAUUAUCGUACUGUCACCCUGCAGGGACGCUGCGCUCUGCAGUCUGAACUAAACUCACAGUCCAGAAUCACUGCUUACUUCAGCGUUUACAACGUGGCCGAGCAUCUGUCGGGGGGAAACCGGGCUGCACCACAUUGCACCUGACAGUCUGACGCAAACGCACAAAAAAUGUUGUUGCGUGAGAAAGUGUUGCGUGAGAUGUUAUUUACUGCAAACACAGGACGUCCAAGAACGCGUCAAAUUAAAGUGAUGCAAGCGCUCAGCAUUCCUCACACAAUCGAGGCGGUUCGGGUGCGUCGGCGUGUUUAUCAAAGAAAUGACUGAUCAUAAUAUCAGCCUUAUUGGUCUCAACAGAAAUGCCACAACCAUCUCGCAGAUUACUCCUUGAUGAGGAAAAUGCAAUUAAAACGUCAAGUGCGUUUUAUUAGAUUCUACCCACCCUGCAGGGUUUUAGCAGCCCCGGGGGUCCCCGGAUGCCCGGGCGAUGGAUGGCAUAUAUAGAAGCAACAUUAGGAAGAGCCGUGCCAAAAUAACAGCCGCUCGCUCCCCCGGUGCUCCGCCUUUCAUCGCCGCACAAUGCCGAGCGCGUGCACGCCGCUUCGCGCUCUAGCGCCUCAGCGGAGGCCCGUGUGGAGGUCUGCAGACGCUUGGUUUGCACCGUCCCGUUUGAGCUCUGAGGAGGUGAUCGCAGGACUGCGUGUGCAGUACGUGUUCAUCUGCAGAGACCCGAGGAAGGUUAUUGUUUCCGCACAUUCACGCGGUGAAAAGCGACAGCGCGUUUCCUCCUCGUCACUGCACGCAAUGACCUGAAGAGCACGAAGGACAAGGGGAGCGAUUACGUAUCUUCCUUUUAAAAGAACACGAGGCAACUGGAGUGUCGUUGGAGAGCCACGAGAUCGAAGCCUGCAGCGCAUUUCAAACAAAGAAAGUUUUAGCGUGAAAAAACGUUGGUCUCCUGAGACCAAAGGUGUGUCUCACCUCGAUCUAAUAAUCGCUUUACAACAAGGCCGACCGUCCUCGUGCUUACACUGCACGAGGACAUCACACUGGCUGCUUCACCUGAGGAGUCGAAAUGCAUGCUGGGAUAUUAAUAAGCACAUGCCUGAGUCAGAUGUGGAAAAUGAGUUUAGUGUAUGAAAUGUCGGAGAAAAGUAGAGAAUGUGUCACCGUAUACUUUUUGCACAUGUUUUAUCUGUGUUGUAUUAGAGAAGAAUGAUACAUCGUACAUCAUGUUUAGUCUCUGGACUAGUUUUGAAGUUUUUGUUAGUUGCCAAACUGGAUCUUUUUGUCUCUCUUUCGCUCUAAGAGCAAUUUUCUAUUUCCGCUUUUUCCAUGUGAAUUAUCGGUUUUUAAGCUUCCCCUCUGAGUAAAGGGACCACUUGAACCAAGUUUUAAAAGCAGUCUUAAACAUCCGUUCACACGGAGACAUUAGACGUCCACGACCUGCGCUGGGAAGGUCAAAUAUUACUCACCUAAAACGUCCAAAGACAAACUUUGUCCCCGCUCACAAAGCGCUUAAUGAAGAAGGUUUUACUCUCAGAGACACCGUGAAAUACCACUUUUACUCUUUAUGUCGGGCUUAAUUUUGCAUUAAUUACUUCAUUGGAGUGGAUGUGGCGUCAUGACCUUUAAAACGGGACUUUGUUUGGUUUCGCGUGAUGGGGCGCCGAUGACAGUGCAGCGGGGGAAAAACACAAAUAAAAAAAGGAGAUGGAAAAUAGAUCUUUUUAAUGGAGUUUAACAAUCGGUCUCUGGUGGACUCAUUAGGAUGACCAGUUUGACUUAUUUUACAGCCACUGGUAAUUAGUAUCGGCAGGAGUUAUAGCUGUAAUCAGCCAAGUUUUUCCCUUUGACUUUCCUCUUCGUUAGCCAUUAACUUUGGUGUUAUACUUGCUGCAGGAAGGCGGUCAAAUGUGUAAAAAGACAGCAGCCGUAAAACCAAUAAAACUGUAGGGUUCCUUCUGGGGAACUUUAAUACUUGCAGCGAUAUGAUAAUUCUUUUUACUUCAAAGCAGCCAUUAAAAAAAAUGACAAUUUUCAGUGCCUUUCAGCGGCUUGAUGGAGCCGCGAAGGCCUUGUUGGGUUUGACGUUAUUUUGGGUAACGGAGCCGCUCCUGUUGGCUCUGCAGGGGGUUCAGUGUUUCCUGAUAAAUAACAAACAGUAGAGACGCACGGUCUCUUCGGUGGCUAAAGACAAAUGUUUUAAAUUGUUUAUCAAAAGAAGUGUUUUACUUAUCAAAACAAUCCACAGCGGCACAUGAGAACAGUUGUAAGCGAGUGUGAGUUAAAAACAUAGAUGUACUUGUUAGAUGAAGCAUGGAUGAUAAACCACUAUUAAAUACAUUGAAGUGGCUUCAAACCAACCUUUCUAAUAUUUGAACAGUGUAUAAGUCUUCUCAUCUUACUUGAGGAAACAAAGAAGAAUAUGAUGAUUUUUUUUAACAUGCUGCAGAAUUUAAAGGUUUCCACAUUAUUAGAACUCUUUUAAAAAAAAUGAGAUUCAAACACUGUUUGAGGUUGAAAAUAGAAACUUCUCCAAGUUAUCACGAAGCAACAAGACCUGUCUGAACUCAUUUCAGCGUUGUUGUCUUUUUUAUAUCCUCCUCCUCUUUUUUUUUACUGCCCAUCUAAUGGCUUAUUUAUUACAUUCAUUCUUUAUAAGCCGGCUCCUGUGUGGCCUCAUUACGACUAUAGCACUGCUUUGGAAUUCCAGGAUAAUUAUGAGCUUCAUUGUUUUAAUAAGAGUCUUGGUCAGCGCCGGAUCUGGAGCUACGUCUUCACGGUUCCCAGGAGGGUGUGAGGAGGGGGGGAGGGGGCAAGAGCGCCGGACAGAUGGAGUCCGACGCACUGCAGGUAAAUAUUUAUGUGUGGAGGCUUGAAUCUCAUCAAUGGAUGCGGCCGCCUCAAUAAGUCUGUGACGCAACUUCAGCUGGUCCUUAAAUCAGACAAGUUAUUGAGACAAGUGGAAGGUCCUCACGGAGACCAGCAGAAGGUCCUCACGGAGACCAGUAGAAGGUCCUCACGGAGACCAGCGGAAGGUCCUAAUGGAGACCAGCAGGUCCUCAUGGAGACCAGCAGAAGGUCCUCAUGGAGACCAGCAGAAGGUCCUAAUGGAGACGAGUAGAAGGUCCUAAUGGAGACCAGCAGAAGGUCCUCAUGGAGACUAGCAGGUCCUCACGGAGACCAGCAGAAGGUCCUAAUGGAGACCAGCAGAAGGUCCUAAUAGAGACCAGCAGAAGGUCCUCACGGAGACGCCCACGUAGUCGACCGGCUCCUCGAUGUUGGCAUGAAGCUGCAGAGGAGCCUCACGUGUGCGUGUGGCCAUGAUUUAUGCACAUGCACAUCAAUGUGGCGUCGGCAGGCUCCUCCUUCAACGUCCGUCCAGCUCUUUAAACUUGAAAUUUCAAUGUAGGACUUUGAUGUAUUUGUUUUUGAUCAGUUUUCUGGCAUUUUGACUGGCUCCCUCACAUAGAUUACCUUAGAUGAGUACGGUUAAAUAAUGUAAAUCGAGUAUUACUUCUCUUUCUCAGCUUUCUGCGGAACUGAAACCACGUUUACUUUUCGCAUUUACUUACAAAAGAUCUUCAAAAAGACGACGUCCCGCCUCUGGAGCGCCAUGUUCUGCAGCUCCUCCAGACGCCACUCAACCUGCCGCCCCGCUGAGACGUCACCGGGCCUGUGAUGUCAGUGUGUGGCCCGUUUUGUCUACUUUACGGGCCGUGUUUUCCAUCAGGGGGGGAAAAGGGGGAGUCCAGAGCCCCCGGCCAUAAAUCUGUGACUCUCCUGGAGCAUCUUCAUCCAAGACAGAAACAUCUAUUUUUUGGUUGUCGUCUGCUGAGAUCAUUAAAGGUAUUAGUUCUUCAUUGAACAUGCUGAAUCCAUUGGUUGAGCAAGCAGCUGAGGGAGCGAUGGAGCGCUCACCCACCCAGACUGCGGAUUGAUUUAUUAACUCGAUGAUGACCGCUCCGCCUGAGGAAUGUCGAUGGAGGCGGAGACGCUUCGCCUCGGAACGACCGCGCCGCCGCCGGGCCGAAUGUUCCAAGCGUAAAAAGACCUUUGUUAGGGUGAGUUCAUUCCGAAUUCAGAACGGGACACUGUGACUGAGACGAGCGGAAAAGUAAAUGUUGUUUUUGAGGUUUUCUUUUUCAUAGUGUGCAGCCUUCAUGCAACAUGGAAUAUACAACUAAUGUCAAUAUUUAUUAGCCAUUUACACAAAUUACUAACGACAAGUAGGAAUAACUGCUACAUCUGGACAUAAAUAUUUUAAGAAAAAUAUAAUAACAUUAUCAACAUUUCCAAUAGUAAGGCAAGUAUUGAUUUAAUAAAUUAUAAAAUAAACAUAAUUUUACAUAAUAUCAUGUAUAUCAUAUUAUCAGUCAAAUUAGCUUAAUAUGUAGUUUGUGUUGUGGUAUAGUAAGUCCCAUCAUUGAAGAGAGACUUUACAAUGCUGUCUUUUAAUAUCCAAAUUCUUUCCUCGUGUCCAAACUUUCCAAACAUUACGUCCUGGCGUGAGUCCAUCUGGAGAAGGUGUCGACAGUCUACGACAUGAGCGAUGAAACGCUAUCUGCAGCCGCAGAUGUUUGUGCGAUAUCAUCUCGGAGGUGCCCAGCUGUCUUCCGCUGAUCUUCUCUCCUCCGAAACAGAGCGAGCUCUCAGAUACGUUUUUUCUUCUUUUUAUGAUGAAUCUACAUAUUUCAUCUCUCCAGGGUGGAAGACGCAUUAUUGGGAAGUACUCGAUCUCUGCCUCCAUUUCCUGUCGGCCCUAAUGGCUUCCAGGUGAGAGGUGUUCCCCCGGCCCUCGCCUGGGAGUGCUUAUUAAAACUGUUUUCCUAUUGAUUCAGUUGGUUUGAUACUCACCAGAUUUGACAAAGCAAAGAUCUCAUGUUUGGCGUAAUAUUACAAGGGAAACAUAAGUGAGUUAUUUGGCCUUGCCGUGGAAACGUGACGUUGUUAAAGCACAGGCCCCUGAAACCUGAGAUGGGGAGAAGGUGGGAGGGGGGCGCAUUUGGUUUCCAUUAUUUGUUUUUUGCUCUAAAGAAACGUUAACAACAGCACCCAGGGAUUAAGUCAUGGUGCAGGUCGCGGCCAAGCCAAACAUCCUGCCUCCUCCAGAAGAACGAAGACAGAUGAAGAAGGGAAGCAGGUGUAAAGUGGACUCCAGCACCUCGCGUUCUCGGCCUCUCCGGGAGGUGUUGUGUGCACAAAGUCUGUCCUCCAAAAUCUACUCGCCCGAGCACUGAGGAGGAGGAGGAGGAGGAGGAGGAGGAGGAGGAGGAGGAAACGAUUUCCAUAUUCCUGCACACACUGAACACUGUUCAUGGGAACUGUUAAAGGAUUCUGAUGGUGUGUUUAAUGGGAGGGGAGUCUGCUCCCGCCUCUGUAUUUAUUAGACUGGUUUCAUGCCUCUGUGUGUGUGUGUGUGUGUGUGUGUGUGGCCUGUUAUGCAUCAAGGGCUGGAUUUAUGAUUCAGGGUCUUGUGGUUCUGUGAUGGUGCAGGGUCACCGCAACACACGCAAAGUAUGAAUCUGUGCGUUGCUUAUUUAUGGCCUGCACUGUAUGUGGGUGUCAUGUUUUUUAUCCCUCUGGUCCUGCAGAGUGAAGCAGAUGUGGCAGUUUCAUUAAGCUGUUUUUUCUCUGGUGACCACCAGGGGGCGACUCCUCUGGUCCUGUAGAACUCAAUGAGAAAAUUACUCUACUUCUCUCUUGAUUUAUGUCCUCAGUAAACAUUGUAAACAUUAUUUUAUGGUCUCAGUCUCUAGUUCCAAGUCUUCCUCAAUACAGCAUGAUGUUCAUUCAGUAAAUGAUGGUCUAUUUAGAGUCAAACAGACCAUAAAGCAGGGGAUGCUUUAGGGCGGAGCUACGGGGUGAUUGACAGGUCUGAACCGCAGACAUAUACGUGGUCUAUAUGUCCUCCUCAGCUCAGAUGUGGGGUUACGCCUCCCCGUCAGCCCUGAACACUGCUUCACAACUAAACACACACACACAGAGAGAAAUCCAAAAGUGAGCCUGUAGUUGUAUCACGAUGACAUCAUCACCUCACAGGAAACGGUCUAAUUCUUUAAGAGCACAGUGACAUCAUAACCCCAUUCCAAUCGCCGCCCAAACCAAACACACCUGCACUCGCUCUACGACCCCCACCGCCCCUCCCUCCCCCACCCGUGACAGAUUAGGAAAUAUUUCAAUGAUUACUAGAAUCUAAACAUCAGCAGAUUAUUUUGACCUUCUCCCCUUCUGUACCUCUCGAAUCAAUCAGAUGAAAAUGAACACUUUAAACAUGACGUACGGUUUUGUGGCUCUUAAUUUGUUUUUCACUGUGUUAUAAUUUUUGCAUGACAUUUUUAUGACAUGCUAUGCUUUUACCAUGACUUCAAAUAUCCUGCUAUUGCAUGACUUUCUAAUGGCAUGCUAUAUACUUUUAGUUGUCACGAUGACAUACUAUACUAUUAAAUACUAUACAUUCUAUUCAAUUGCCUGGUAGGACUUUUUAUGAUGUAUUACACAAUAACCUUUUAUGAGUUUUUGGUAAUGAGUAAUUAUGAGUUCAUUUUGAAACUGCAUAAUUUAAAAUUAUAUUUUUAUAAUUUGCUCUACUGUGAGUUAUUGAGACAUAAGACAUAAGUUUCCAUGACUUCCAUGAAUGAUUCACUGUACAAUGGCCUUUAACGACUGUUUUGUGGAAUGCGUCUGACCUUCUAUGACUUGAAUGAAUCAAAAUAAUAUAUUGGUACAUAAUAUUUCUUGAUGACGAUAAUGCUAAAACCCUUUACGUUUUUUACCAUAUAAUACUUUUCAUGACAUAUUAGAUUAUAACUUUUUAUUACCCAUUUAUGACUUUUUAAGUCUACACUAUGGAUUUCUAUAUAUUUCAUAUGUAUCAUUUUAGAGACCCUAACUUUUGUACCCUACUAAUUGUAAAGAAUUUCAACAGAACAGACAUCUUAUGUAAAUAAAAUCAUAAAAAGGGUGUGCAUGUUAAGAAAAGAAAUGAAAUUAUAUUAUUAUGUUAAACAAAAAUCAUAAAAAAGUAUACAUUAUGUCAAAAAUAAGUAAUAAAGUGAGUACUAAAUAUUGAAAAUAAGUCAUAAAAGGUUCCUAGUAUAGAAUGUCACAUAAAAAUAAAUAAAUGACGUGUUUAUACACGCGGACGUCAAAGUUUACUUUGCAUUCUUCAGUUUAACUCAUCUUAAGAAGCUUUUUAAAACAAGAGCCUGUUGACAGCCGAGAGUUCAAGCCAAAUGUAAUCUUUAUUAGACUGUUUCUGUACAAAAAGCACUGGAUCACAGGAAAAAAAACAAAAAAAGACAUGCAUCUAUUUACAGCAUGGCCAGAGACGGAAAAGAAAGAAAGCUGUUUGUACUCUAAAGACAUUAAUUAAACAUUGUGCUUUGAUAUACUUUGAUGAUAUAUUUCAUAUUUCACAAAGAUGCAGUACCUCUGCCCUCUUUCACAUUGAAGUAAAACAUCGAGUAAAAGUAAAACUUUUGCCGUUUUUAACGACCUCGGCCGGGAGAACCAGGACGGUGAGAAGCAAAAACUUUCUACAAACUGUGACCAAAGUAAAAAUAAAAUAAGACGGUUUGAGAGGUGGAGGCGGACGGAGAGGUUGGAGGCGGACGGAGGCCGGCUGCGUUCCCUCAGUGUCGCUGAGACCAAUGGCUUCUCCUAAAGACACUGGGCAGAUGUUCAGCUGAUGUUGUGCAGAGGCCGAAGCGUCUGGAUUUGCAUAAAGUCAAAAGUCCAAAACUUGGGAUUCUCCUUCACUCACGUGAUGGAUCUUAUGGCGCACAGAUGUUCCAAAUGAAGCAACAUUGGCUCGGAAAUUUCACGUAAUGGCAAAGCCGUUUAAUAGUUUUGUUGUAAAAGUUUGAGAUUCUGAGGAAUUCACAUUUCUUUUGGUUGAUUUUAUGAUUUUUUUCUCAUUUUUGUCCACUUUAAAUAUAUAUAUACACAUUAUAUAUAUAUAUA
ensembl:lncRNA